UACGGAGGGUGCAAGCAUUGAUCGGAAUUACUGGGCGUAAAGGGCGCGUAGGCGGCAAGAUAAGUCAGAUGUGAAAUUCCGGGGCUCAACCCCGGAGCUGCAUUUGAAACUAUUUUUCUAGAGUUCAGUUAGGGUAAACGGAAUUCCACGUGUAGCGGUGAAAUGCGUAGAUAUGUGGAAGAACACCGGUGGUGAAGACGGUUUACUGGGCUGAGACUGACGCUGAGGCGCGAAAGCAUGGGGAGCAAACAGG
rnacentral:rRNA from 1 species